GAUGAACGCUGGCGGUCUGCUUAACACAUGCAAGUCGAACGAACUUCUUCGGAGUGAGUGGCGGAACGGGUGAGUAACGCGUGAGAAUCUGCCUGUGGGUCGGGGACAACCCACUGGAAACGGGUGGCUAAUACCGGAUGAGCCGAAAAGGUUAAAAAGACUUUAUUGCCCACAGAUGAGCUCGCGUCUGAUUAGCUAAGUUGGUAAGGUAAAAGCGUACCAAGGCGACGAUCAGUAGCUGGUCUGAGAGGAUGAGCAGCCACACUGGGACUGAGACACGGCCCAGACUCCUACGGAGGCAGCAGUGGGAAUUUUCCGCAAUGGGCGAAAGCCUGACGGAGCAAGACCGCGUGGGGGA
rnacentral:rRNA from 1 species